rnacentral:tRNA from 1 species
GCCUGGGUGGCUUAGUCAGUUAAGAAUCUGACUUUGGCUCAGGUCAUGAUCUCACAGUUCGUGAGUUCGAGCCCCACCUCAGGCU